UACGGGGGGGGCAAGCGUUGUUCGGAAUUACUGGGCGUAAAGGGCUCGUAGGUGGCCAACUAAGUCGGACGUGAAAUCCCUCAGCUUAACUGGGGAACUGCGUCCGAUACUGGAUGGCUUGAGUUUGGGAGAGGGAUGCGGAAUUCCAGGUGUAGCGGUGAAAUGCGUAGAUAUCUGGAGGAACACCGGUGGCGAAGGCGGCAUCCUGGACCAACACUGACACUGAGGAGCGAAAGCUAGGGGAGCAAACGGG
rnacentral:rRNA from 1 species